GUAACAUGAGGUUACAGGAACGUUUCUCAUGUCCGGAGAGCAAAGAAGUGUCCUCUGACAGCAUUCUUCAACAACGGUUUGACAACUUGAGGGGUCUAGCGAUCAUUAUUCACAGGAAGAUUUAGGAUGUGUUUGGUUGCACCUCUUGGGGAAAUUUAUUCAAUUCUAUGGUGUGCUUCGGCGAAAUAAUCCAAGAAAUACAUGAAUAUUAUGAAAAAAUACUAUGUGUGUUUCUUCACAGCAUAUGUGAAAGACUGGAUAUUUAGACCAGGCUUGAUCCAGUCAGCACAUACACCUGAGAUGAACUCUAGCCUUUAGCAGCUUGGAAAUCAUUCAGGAACGUGAACCUUAUGAGUCAACAAUUAGAGUGGACACUGGCAU